rnacentral:lncRNA from 1 species
CCAUAAAAAUUAGACAGAAGCAUUCUCAGAAACUUGUUUAUGAUGUGUGUACUCAACUAACAGAGUUGAACCUUUCCUUUGACAGAGCAGUUUUGAAACACUCUUUUUACAGAAUCUGCAAGUGGUUAUUUGGAUAGAUUUGAGGAUUUCGUUGGAAACGGGAAUAUCUUCAUGUAAAAGGUAGACAGAAGCAUUCUCAGAAACUUCUUUGUGAUGUUUGCAUUCAAGUCACAGAGUUGAACAUUCCCUUUCAUAGAGCAGGUUUGAAACACUCUUUUUGUAGUACCUGGAAGUGGAAAUUUGGAGCACUUUGAGGCCUAAGGUGAAAAAGGAAAUCUCAUCCCAUAAUAACUAGACAGAAGCAUUCUCAGAAACUUGUUUCUGACGUGUGUUCUCAACUAACAGACUUGAA